rnacentral:rRNA from 1 species
UACGGAGGGGGCUAGCGUUGUUCGGAAUUACUGGGCGUAAAGGGCGCGUAGGCGGCCUUCUAAGUCAGACGUGAAAUCCCCAGGCUUAACUUGGGAACUGCGUCUGAUACUGGGAGGCUUGAGUGCGGGAGAGGGAUGCAGAAUUCCAGGUGUAGCGGUGAAAUGCGCAGAUAUCAGGAGGAACACCGGUGGCGAAGGCGGUGGUCUGGGCCGGCACUGACGCUGAGGAGCGAAAGCGUGGGGAGCAAACAGG